rnacentral:tRNA from 4 species
GCCGAGGUGGUGGAAUUGGUAUACACGCACGACUCAAAAUCGUGUCUCGCAAGGGAUGGGAGUUCGACUCUCCCCCUCGGCACCA